AGAGUUUGAUCAUGGCUCAGGACGAACGCUUGCGACGUGCCUAAGAAAUGCAAGUCGAACGGGGUAGCAAUACCUAGUGGCGAACGGUCGCGUAACACGUGGGCAACCUGCCCCAGAGCGGGGGAUAACAGGCCGAAAGGUUUGCUAAUACCGCAUGUGGACUUUGUCGGCAUCGACGAAAGUCUAAAGAUUUAUCACUC
rnacentral:rRNA from 1 species